AGAGUUUGAUCAUGGCUCAGAUUGAACGCUGGCGGCAGGCCUAACACAUGCAAGUCGAGCGGUAGCACAGAGAGCUUGCUCUCGGGUGACGAGCGGCGGACGGGUGAGUAAUGUCUGGGAAACUGCCUGAUGGAGGGGGAUAACUACUGGAAACGGUAGCUAAUACCGCAUAACGUCGCAAGACCAAAGUGGGGGACCUUCGGGCCUCAUGCCAUCAGAUGUGCCCAGAUGGGAUUAGCUAGUAGGUGGGGUAACGGCUCACCUAGGCGACGAUCCCUAGCUGGUCUGAGAGGAUGACCAGCCACACUGGAACUGAGACACGGUCCAGACUCCUACGGGAGGCAGCAGUGGGGAAUAUUGCACAAUGGGCGCAAGCCUGAUGCAGCCAUGCCGCGUGUGUGAAGAAGGCCUUCGGGUUGUAAAGCACUUUCAGCGGGGAGGAAGGCGGUGAGGUUAAUAACCUUGUCGAUUGACGUUACCCGCAGAAGAAGCACCGGCUAACUCCGUGCCAGCAGCCGCGGUAAUACGGAGGGUGCAAGCGUUAAUCGGAAUUACUGGGCGUAAAGCGCACGCAGGCGGUCUGUCAAGUCGGAUGUGAAAUCCCCGGGCUCAACCUGGGAACUGCAUUCGAAACUGGCAGGCUAGAGUCUUGUAGAGGGGGGUAGAAUUCCAGGUGUAGCGGUGAAAUGCGUAGAGAUCUGGAGGAAUACCGGUGGCGAAGGCGGCCCCCUGGACAAAGACUGACGCUCAGGUGCGAAAGCGUGGGGAGCAAACAGGAUUAGAUACCCUGGUAGUCCACGCCGUAAACGAUGUCGAUUUGGAGGUUGUGCCCUUGAGGCGUGGCUUCCGGAGCUAACGCGUUAAAUCGACCGCCUGGGGAGUACGGCCGCAAGGUUAAAACUCAAAUGAAUUGACGGGGGCCCGCACAAGCGGUGGAGCAUGUGGUUUAAUUCGAUGCAACGCGAAGAACCUUACCUGGUCUUGACAUCCACAGAACUUUCCAGAGAUGGAUUGGUGCCUUCGGGAACUGUGAGACAGGUGCUGCAUGGCUGUCGUCAGCUCGUGUUGUGAAAUGUUGGGUUAAGUCCCGCAACGAGCGCAACCCUUAUCCUUUGUUGCCAGCGGU
rnacentral:rRNA from 1 species